UUCUUCAACAAAACAAAUUUCGAAAAUUCGAACACUUCACAGUAUCUUACAGAAACCCUAAAAAAAAAAAGAAAUGGGGGAUUUCUCUGGAAAAAUCGACGUAGAGAAACUAAUCUCAUUCAGCGACGAUCUCGUCGCCGUUUUGAAGGAUCAAAGAGACAUUAACAACUUGAGUCACUGUCUUCAACAGUCACACUCUCUCAAAUCCUCUUGCGAUGCUGAAUUCAACGACUCCAAAACCCUAAUCGAAGAUUAUGAGAAAAAGAUAGAAGAAUGCAAGAAGAAAACGGAGAAGGCGAAAGCGGAAGUUGUUUCCGAUGCCGACAUGGAGAUUCUGGAGCAGGAAUUGGAAGCGGAGCUUCAAAAAGAAGCUGCUCUUAUGGAGGAGCUCAGAGUGAUCAACAAUGAGAUUAGUGAUUUGGAGUGUCAACGGGUUUCUUUUGAGGAACGAAAGCGAAAUAUGAAGAAAAACGAGAAAGAUGAGCUCAGAGCACAGAGGAUGCUUUCAAUGUAUGCAUCUGUGACUAAUAUCAUUCCGGACUUGGAUGAUCACUCCAAAAUCUCUGGCCAUAUUGUGCAUAGAGAUAACAAGGCUGUUGAGAAAUUUGAAUUUGAUCCGACAAAGAUAAGUUCAUUUGAAAUAUGUCAGAGCAUCUGGGAGAUGAUAAAUAAGCAAUAGCUGUUUGGAUAUCUUCAGCUGGCUUGUGUGCUUCUACUUGGUUUUAAUGCGUCUUUCUGUAAUAUACUUGGUCACUUAUUUUGUAGGAGGUGGUCUUCUUUUGUUGAAUGUAUUUGGCUUUCGUCCCUUCAGAUGUGAUGGUGCUCUUGUGAGGCAUUGCAUUCUAGUGUUUGAAUCCACCUGGGGAGUUCCUUGUGCAAGAACCAUGCCUGGAAAAUUGAAAGCCAUAGUUAAGUAUUUAUCAGAGAGAGCAGGUUUUACCAAAUCAGGCCAGAGGUUGAUGGCACAAGCAUGUAUGAUGUUCAGAUAGCAUUCAUCUUCCCCAUGCUGCAAAAUACCGAAGUAAACGGUGAUUGAUCAAACAAUGGAAAGAACAAGAAACAAAAAGAAAGAACAAUACUGAAGAUGGAAAUUGCAACCUGACACUCAAUGGUAUUGUUGGAGUCUAGAAUAGCAUUUCCCCAUGGAACCAGUCUGAGAUUGAGAAUGGUCAUGAGAUCAGUCUCCAGGACCUGAGCUAGGGGACCUGCAAUGAAACUGCUGCAAUAUGGACAAAGAGAUUCAUAAUAUAAAGACAUUGUAACUUUCUCAGAAUUGCGAGAGAUUUUCCUGGACGUAACAGGAGGCGCUGGUUCCUGAACAACAUCAUACUCUGAAGAAUGGGAAGGGGUGACGAACAACACCACCAGAGAAGUGAGAACAAGGAAAGAGAGUAAUGGAGAAGAGCCCAUCUCUUUUUGAUGGUUGGUGCAUUGAAAACUCAACGUGGUGUGCGGUAUUUAUAGGUCUAGCAAGUGACGAGAAAUAUUUUUUUGUCCCAGUCAGAUAAUGUGACACCUCAUGCCCUACCAUCAAUGCUCUGUGAGUAGUAGCUGAAACCUACCAAACAUUUUUUCUUUUUAAGAACAUAUUCAUCUGAUAGACUGAUUUAUUGAAGCACCAGCUUAAAAUGGAGUUAAUUAAACAUAAA